rnacentral:rRNA from 1 species
UACGAAGGUCCCGAGCGUUGUUCGGAAUUACUGGGCGUAAAGAGUGUGUAGGCGGUGUUCCCAGUCUGUUGUGAAAUCUCCCGGCUUAACUGGGAGGGUGCAGCGGAAACUAGAAUGCUAGAGGGUGGGAGAGGUAAGCGGAAUUCCUGGUGUAGCGGUGAAAUGCGUAGAUAUCAGGAGGAACACCUGUGGUGUAGACAGCUUACUGGACCACUUCUGACGCUGAGACACGAAAGCGUGGGUAGCAAACAGG